GACAGAGGUGCCAAGCGUUAGGCGGAAUCACUGGGCUUAAAGCGUGUGUAGGCGGGCGAUCAAGUACCUUGUGAAAUCCCACGGCUCAACCGUGGAACUGCUGGGUAUACUGGUUGUCUUGAGCCAGCUAGGGGCGAGCGGAACAGACGGUGGAGCGGUGAAAUGCGUAGAUAUCGUCUGGAACGCCGAAGGUGAAACAGC
rnacentral:rRNA from 1 species